GGGCAGCAUUUCAGUUUGCUUGCAAACUGGAGAUGGCGACCGGCGCACGGGUGAGUAACACGUAUCCAACCUGCCGAUAACUCGGGGAUAGCCUUUCGAAAGAAAGAUUAAUACCCGAUGGUAUAAUCAGACCGCAUGGUCUUGUUAUUAAAGAAUUUCGGUUAUCGAUGGGGAUGCGUUCCAUUAGGCAGUUGGUGAGGUAACGGCUCACCAAACCUUCGAUGGAUAGGGGUUCUGAGAGGAAGGUCCCCCACAUUGGAACUGAGACACGGUCCAAACUCCUACGGGAGGCAGCAGUGAGGAAUAUUGGUCAAUGGGCGCAGGCCUGAACCAGCCAAGUAGCGUGAAGGAUGACUGCCCUAUGGGUUGUAAACUUCUUUUAUAUGGGAAUAAAGUUUUCCACGUGUGGAAUUUUGUAUGUACCAUAUGAAUAAGGAUCGGCUAACUCCGUGCCAGCAGCCGCGGUAAUACGGAGGAUCCGAGCGUUAUCCGGAUUUAUUGGGUUUAAAGGGAGCGUAGGUGGACAGUUAAGUCAGUUGUGAAAGUUUGCGGCUCAACCGUAAAAUUGCAGUUGAUACUGGCUGUCUUGAGUACAGUAGAGGUGGGCGGAAUUCGUGGUGUAGCGGUGAAAUGCUUAGAUAUCACGAAGAACUCCGAUUGCGAAGG
rnacentral:rRNA from 1 species